rnacentral:snRNA from 1 species
AUCGCUUCUUGGCCUUUUGGCUAAGAUUAAGUGUAGUAUCUGUUCUUAUCAGUUUAAUAUAAAUUAAAUGACUAUAUAAAGUUUCUUGCAUUAUUUGCAUCAACCGAAA